UCGAGAAUCUUCCACAAUGGACGAAAGUCUGAUGGAGCGACGCCGCGUGAUUGAUGAAGUCCCUUUGGGACGUAAAGAUCUUUUAUGAGGGAAGAAGUUUAUUGACUGUACCUCAUGAAUAAGAGGCUCCUAAUCUCGUGCCAGCAGGAGCGGUAAUACGAGAGCCUCGAGCGUUAUCCGGAAUUAUUGGGCGUAAAGGGUGCGUAGGUUGUUCUGUUAGUCUUUUGUUAAAACCCGGGGCUUAACUUCGGAUGUGCAAAAGAAACGGCAGAACUUGAAAGUAGGAGAGGUGUACGGAACUCAUGGUGUAGGGGUGAAAUCCGUUGAUAUCAUGGGGAACACCAAAUGCGAAGGCAGUACACUGGCCUAUAUUUGACACUGAAGCACGAAAGCGUGGGUAGCGAAUGGGAUUAGAUACCCCCGUAGUCC
rnacentral:rRNA from 1 species